rnacentral:tRNA from 1 species
GGGGACUUAGCUCAGUGGUAGAGCGCUCGCCUAGCAAGCACAAGGCCCUGGGUUCGAUCCCCAGCUCCG